rnacentral:rRNA from 1 species
CAGUCGCCACGGGAAUACGUAGGUGGCAAGCGUUGUCCGGAAUUAUUGGGCGUAAAGGGCUCGCAGGCGGUUUCUUAAGUCUGAUGUGAAAGCCCCCGGCUCAACCGGGGAGGGUCAUUGGAAACUGGGAAACUUGAGUGCAGAAGAGGAGAGUGGAAUUCCACGUGUAGCGGUGAAAUGCGUAGAGAUGUGUAGGAACACCAGUGGCGAAGGCGACUCUCUGGUCUGUAACUGACGCUGAGGAGCGAAAGCGUGGGGAGCGAACAGGAUUAGAUACCCCUGUAGUCCCUGUCUCUUAUAC